CAGCAGCCACGGGAAUACGAAGGGGGCUAGCGCUGCUCGGAAUGACUGGGCGUAAAGGGCGCGUAGGCGGCUGUUACAGUCAGAUGUGAAAUCUCUGGGCUCAACCCAGAGUCUGCAUCGGAAACUGUCGAGCUUGAGUAUGGGAGAGGUGAGUGGAAUUUCCGGUGUAGCGGUGAAAUGCGUAGAUAUCGGAAGGAACACCUGUGGCGAAAGCGGCUCACUGGACCAUUACUGACGCUGAGGCGCGAAAGCUAGGGGAGCAAACAGGAUUAGAUACCCCUGUAGUCCCUGUCUCUUAUAC
rnacentral:rRNA from 1 species